GUGGGGAAUAUUGGACAAUGGGGGGAACCCUGAUCCAGCCAUGCCGCGUGUGUGAAGAAGGCCUUUUGGUUGUAAAGCACUUUAAGCGAGGAGGAGGCUACCGAGAUUAAUACUCUUGGAUAGUGGACGUUACUCGCAGAAUAAGCACCGGCUAACUCUGUGCCAGCAGCCGCGGUAAUACAGAGGGUGCAAGCGUUAAUCGGAUUUACUGGGCGUAAAGCGCGCGUAGGUGGCCAAUUAAGUCAAAUGUGAAAUCCCCGAGCUUAACUUGGGAAUUGCAUUCGAUACUGGUUGGCUAGAGUAUGGGAGAGGAUGGUAGAAUUCCAGGUGUAGCGGUGAAAUGCGUAGAGAUCUGGAGGAAUACCGAUGGCAAAGGCAGCCAUCUGGCCUAAUACUGACACUGAGGUGCGAAAGCAUGGGGAGCAAACAGGAUUAGAUACCCCGGUAGUCC
rnacentral:rRNA from 1 species